ensembl:lncRNA
CUUUUUUGUUCCUCAGGUACAGUACGUGAUAUCAAGGGCAGGCGGUCAACACUGGGGAAGACAAGAAGCAGACGUACUUCCAAGAGGGAGCUGCAGUGAGGUCAGAGGAGGCGCUGGAAGGUUUCCCUAAUAGUUCCUGGUGAAUCAAAGCAGAACCAUAAAGAUUGCUGGACUGCAUGAUGGCCUUACCCCUGAGCAGUCAUCCUGUUAAAGGAGGAACCAGUUAGAAGCUGUUUUCAACGUAGCUGAGCAGAUUUCAUCUCAACAGACAAAGCCGAUUGCAGAAGAUGUCGGAGAAGAACUUCAGGCCGUGGACUGAAAAGAUCAAAGCAGCUCGUGCUCCUUCUGCUUCCAAUUUAGAAGAAGAAGAAGAAGAAGGCGAAGGCUUCAGCGAAGUGGCGUUCAUGAACAGUCACGGUCACACACUGCAUGUGGUUUUAAAAGCAACAUGUCUGUUCACCACAACAAUGGAGAUGUGUAAUAUUAGUGCAGCUACGGUUUGUUUUUGAACAUCAGUUCUGUUUUCUACUUUGAUCACUUAGACCAAAAAAGUGUUGUUUUCAGAUUCUUUCUUUUACAUCUAUAAAGCACCUGCUCAUUUUUAUUACAAUUAGUUUCACAUGAAUGUUAGUGUUUCCUUUAUGAUCUUUUAAUGCUUUCACUACACUGUACACGUCUACAUUAGAGACAUUUCUGUUUCCUGUUUCUGUUGACUCAGAGUUGUGAAAUGUUCUUUUAUUUGAUACACAAUAUGAAGUUCAUAAUUUUCUUACAAAUAAAACUCUAAUGACAAACAUGA